GGUGAGGUGGCAGAGUGGUCGAAUGCGGCGGUCUCGAAAACCGUUGAACCUGUAAGGGUUCCCUGAGUUCGAAUCUCAGCCUCACCGCCA
rnacentral:tRNA from 1 species